CCUGGACUACAGGCAGACAAAUGGGAACACAUAUGCUAGACACAUUUGAGACCGGGGUGAUGGCUGGAAAGGACAUUUUCCCAUCGUUAAAGGACAUGACAUUUCUUCGUGACCGAGGUGUUGGAUGGAAAGGACAUGUUCCUGUCACUAAAGGGGCUGGAGCACAGGGAAUGGAUGGGGUUGAUUCUGUCUGCUGCCCAGGCAGGUUCACACACAUCUGUCGCUGUCAGACACACACCAGUACCUCCCAACCCUUCCGCACAAUGGCUCACCUCUCCUCCCCCCUCUUUAUUGGCUGAAUGACUGUCCCAAACACUGUCUGGUCAAGACUGUUCUACAUGCACAUACUGUCAUCAUACAUGGAGGAGGCAAGCGUUCAGUGGUUGAAUGAAGUCAGAGAAGAAUUUGACUGGACUGGACUUGCCCACCUGCUGCUCUGAAUCAAAGCUCAACAGAAAAUAGUAGU